GUGAGUUCGAGGCUGGUAUCUCCAAGGAUGGCCAGACCAGAGAGCACGCUUUGUUGGCUUUCACCUUGGGUGUUAGACAAUUGAUUGUUGCCAUCAACAAGAUGGACUCCGUCAAGUGGGACCAAUCCAGAUUCGAGGAGAUUGUCAAGGAAACCUCUAACUUCGUCAAGAAGGUUGGUUACAACCCUAAGACUGUUCCUUUCGUGCCAAUCUCUGGUUGGAACGGUGACAACAUGAUUGAGCCAUCCACCAACUGCCCAUGGUACAAGGGUUGGGAGAAGGAGACCAAGGCCGGUAAGUCCACCGGUAAGACCUUGUUGGAGGCCAUUGACGCCAUUGAGCCACCUUCGAGACCAACCGACAAGCCAUUGAGAUUGCCAUUGCAGGAUGUCUACAAGAUCGGUGGUAUCG
rnacentral:misc_RNA from 1 species